CCGUGGCAUUUUCAUUUUAGUUCCGCCCUGUUACGGGAGGGAAACGACUUGGCCACGCCCCAGCGGCGUGCGUUUUAUUCUUUUGCAAAAGCUGUGAACCUUCAGGGGACAUGAGGAAAGACAGUCGCGGCAGCCUAGAGAAUGAGGGGCGCUCAACGUCAAGGCGCCCACAUAGCUGAGGAGAUGGGGAGGUUGUAGCAAAAUGAAGACAGAAGGUGUUGUCUGAUGCUGUUGUAGGUAUUAUGACUGAACCUCAGUUAACACAAGGAAAUAGGUGCUGUAUGAAGAGGUAGGGGAAAAACUAGGAAAGAUGCAUUUCUACACAAAUGGGACUAAGUGUUAUUUGGGGGCUUUGAGCAGAAGAGAAAGGGUAUGUAGUAGAGAAUCAAAGAAUUCGGGAAACCACAGGCAAGAUUUGUGGGGCAUUGGCAGAAAGUUUUGUGGUAAAGUCCUGAGUUCUUAUCCAAUUUUGUUAAUGGCACUAAGAAUAUUGGAUAAGGUACCAGUGAAGCAAACAAAGACAUUCAAUAUUGUGAGGGCACAGAGACUUGGGUUAUUUAUCCUGGCCAUGAAAGGUCAUACUUCCAAGGCUGGAGUAAGUGUUGCUUAUGUUUGGUCCACAUUUAAAUUUCCUCAGACAGUCAUGGAAUGAAAUCUCCCUUUGGAAGGCAGAAACCUAUGGAUAGACAACAUUUCACAAAAAAGAUUCCAAAUAGAACUGUAGCAUUACCCAAGUUAGGAGGAAUCCUCAGUGGUGCCUGCAAGACAUAAGGUAACUUGGGGCCCUCAGAAAGCACGUGAAUGUUGACACAGAUCCUGGUCAGUAUCUGGCUAUAGGUACCAAUUGGCUAGCUUUCCAGAAAGAAACAUCAUUCCUAGGUUUUGCACUACUGCAUUAUUAACAGUGGUUCUGCACCAAUAUUUAUACUUUCUGAGAAUGUUUGAGGGUUCAGGUUUGAGGCUACUCUACAGAUAAUUGUCUAACCCAUCAAAGCUGGUUAUUCUGGUCUUUCAGCUUUAGCAUUUUCAUUUAUAUUUCUUAUGUAACUACUUCUCAGUUCAUGCUCAGUGAAUAUAUUUCCUGUAUUCCUUUCCCAGAAUCCUGUUCCUUCAAAGGAGGUUCAGGAUUGUUCACCUGCUCAAAGUCUGCCUCAUUAAAUAUGUUGCUUGGUAGCAGGCCAGGGAGUUGGGUGGUCAGUUGAAUUGGAGGAUUUCCUUUGUUCUUGGCAGUGGCAUGCUGACCUCUUGUUACUGAAUGAGGACUGUUUCCAAACCAAGCAUUGGGAAAAACAGUAAGAGGGGAAGAAGUCUUUUGAGUUUUUUCUCUAGGAACCACCAGGCUUGUCUGAAACUUUUGUCUGUUUGGGGGCUUGUUCUGUUUCAGAACCAGAACUCUGGGAGACCAUUGCCUUGGCACAUGGAAUUCAGGGCCUAGCAAGAUGAAGGUGGAUAGCACUGGAUAGCACUUAAACUCCAACAGUAUGCUGCUAGGAUCCAGUCCAGGACACUACGUUAGAUUGUUCUCAUGUCUCCUUUGGCUCCUGUUGAUUGUGGCAGUUUCUCAGAAUUUCUUUGUUUUGAUGACCUUGACAGUAUUGAGGGGUACUAUUCAGGUAUUUUGUAGACUGUGCCUCAAUUGGGAUUUGUCUGAUUUUUUUCCUCAUGAUGAGAAUGGGGUUAUGGGUGUUUGGGAGAAAGACCACAAAGGUAAAAUACCAUUCUCAUAUAUCAAGGCUUUGAUGAGCUGACCAGCCUUUACCAGCUUUUUCCUCCAUAUAGUUAUUUUCCCCACUUUCUAUACUCUGUUCUUCGGAAGUUAGUCACUAAGUCCAGCCCACUUUCAAGAAGGGUUGGGGAAGAUUAAGCUCCACUUCCUGGAGGGUGAGAAUCUACAUAAAUUAUUUAGCAUUCUUCUAUAAGGAAGAAUUAUUUAUUUUGUUUCUCAAAUUGUUCCAGCUUUGUUCAUUAGAAACUCUUUCACAUUGGACCCUAUAUCCCUUUGGCAUGUCCCCAUUGUUUUGUUCUUUGAGCACUUCCUUACUUUCUGGCACUACAGGUUGCUCAUUUUGUAUAUUCCCUGCCACAGCCAUGGGAGAACCAACCAUUUCUCCAAGGAGACCUGGUUCCUUUUAUUAAAUCAGAAUGUCUUCCAGAAUAUGAAAGAUCUAGAUGACUGUAAUAGAACCAGUGGAAACCCAUUUGUAGGGGUAUGUGUGUGUAGGAGGUGGUUAACAGGAGCAAAAGAAAAAGGGAAAUCUGGAAGGGUCAUAAUCCAAUUCUCUUGAAUCAUAGUUUACUAUCCAUUUGGAGGCAAUUUAAGAGCACAAACUAAGAGAUACCUUGGGUUCAGAUGCCAGCUCUGUCACUUUCUAGCUGUGUGUCUGUGAACCUCAGUUUCCUCAUCUGUAAUGUGGAUAUAAUAACCUCAUGAGGUUGUUGGGAUGAUGAUGAAGUGAUUUAUUUAUUUAUGUAUUUAUGUACUUACCACACUCUGCGGCAUGUGGGAUUUUAGUUCCCCGACCAGGGAUCGAACCUGCGCCCCCUGCAGU